rnacentral:rRNA from 1 species
UACGUAGGGGGCAAGCGUUAUCCGGAAUUACUGGGUGUAAAGGGCGCGUAGGCGGCCAGAUAAGUCAGAUGUGAAAACCUUGAGCUUAACUUAAGGAAUGCAUUUGAAACUAUUAGGCUAGAGUACAGGAGAGGUAAGUGGAAUUUCUAGUGUAGCGGUAAAAUGCGUAGAUAUUAGGAAGAACACCAGUGGCGAAGGCGACUGACUGGACUAAAGCUGACGCUGAGGCGCGAAAGCGUGGGGAGCGAACAGG